UUGACCUCAAAUCAGGUAGGACUACCCGCUGAACUUAAGCAUAUCAAUAAGCGGAGGAAAAGAAACUAACAAGGAUUCCCCUAGUAACUGCGAGUGAAGAGGGAAGAGCUCAAAUUUGAAAUCUGGCAGUGUUUUGCUGUCCGAGUUGUAAUCUAGAGAAGUGCUGCCCGUGCUGGACCAUGUACAAGUCUCCUGGAAUGGAGCGUCACAGAGGGUGAGAAUCCCGUCUUUGACAUGGACUGCCAGUGCAUUUGUGGUGUGCUCUCAAAGAGUCGAGUUGUUUGGGAAUGCAGCUCUAAAUGGGUGGUAAACUCCAUCUAAAGCUAAAUAUUGGCGAGAGACCGAUAGCGAACAAGUACCGUGAGGGAAAGAUGAAAAGAACUUUGGAAAGAGAGUUAAACAGUAUGUGAAAUUGUUGAAAGGGAAACGCUUAAAGUCAGUCGUGUCGGCCAGGGAUCAACUCAGUAUUAUCUGCUGGGUGUACUUCCUGAUCUGAUGGGCCAACAUCAGUUUUGACUGCUGGAGAAGGAUAGAGGGAAUGUGGCACCUUCGGGUGUGUUAUAGCUCUCUGUCGGAUGCAGUGGUUGGGACUGAGGAAAGCAGCAUGCCGCAAGGCCGGGUCGUUUCGACCACGUUCAUUGCUGAGGAUGUUGGCAUAAUGGCUUUAAUCGACCCGUCUUGAAACACGGACCAAGGAGUCUAACAUGCCUGCGAGUGUUUGGGUGGCAAACCCGAGUGCGGAAUGAAAGUGAAAGGUUGAGAUCCCUGUCAUGGGGAGCAUCGACMCCCGGACCUGAGCACAUUGCAAAGGAUCUGCGGUAGAGCAUGUAUGUUAGGACCCGAAAGAUGGUGAACUAUGCCUGAAUAGGGUGAASCCAGAGGAAACUSUGGUGGAGGYUSGUAGCGAUUCUGACGUGCAAAUCGAUCGUSGAAUUUGGGUAUAGGGGCGAAAGACUAAUCGA
rnacentral:rRNA from 1 species